rnacentral:rRNA from 1 species
CCUACGGGAGGCAGCAGUGGGGAAUAUUGGACAAUGGGCGCAAGCCUGAUCCAGCCAUGCCGCGUGAGUGAUGAAGGCCUUAGGGUUGUAAAGCUCUUUCACCGAUGAAGAUAAUGACGGUAGUCGGAGAAGAAGCCCCGGCUAACUUCGUGCCAGCAGCCGCGGUAA